GUUUAGCUAACAGUCUGGGAGGAUGCUGAUUAGGACAUGGCUAGCAACAUGUGCGUACAUGGCACAUCUGUCAGGGAGAGUCAAUAACAACAAAAAGCUCCAGACACGGCAGAAAGGACGCUGAGAGACGUGGAGGAUUUUACGCCAGCGUCAUCCUUUUUCUUCCUCUGUGGUCCAGCUGAUCCAGGGGCCUGGAGUGAUGAAGGGUCCUGAAACUUUUCAGCCCCUGGCACCUCUUUGUGGACGUGCUGAUUGGAGAGCGUGCAGCAAGGCGUCCACCAAUCCCUCGCAUUCCCUCAGCCUGCGUCGAGCCUCUGCUCCAUCCGAGCUCACAUUUCUGCAAGAACAAUGUCAGACAAAGACACAGAGACACUUGUUAGUAUCAACCAAAUUUAACUGCACUGUUGACAGCACAUAAAGUUGCUCUGAGCUUGAUGUAAAACCAGAUGAAAUAGGAUUCAUAAAACAUCUCUACUGCUGUAAUGUCUGCAACCAUUCGGAAGAAGGUGAUUCCACAUUUAGGGACACUGUGGGGGUGAAUAGUUAGAUAUUGAACAUUUUCAAGUAUUACAUCUAACUAAGGGCCCUAUAGUAUUGUAAAGCCUUUAAUCAUACUUUUAUAAGUGGAUACAUAUGGGUAAUAUUCAAGCCAUGUGAUCUUCAACACUUCUAUCGAAUAAAACCCAACUAAUGAUGCCUCACACUUCCUACCUGCUGUGUGUCUCUGCUCUGCCUUCUGUCACAGCCUCUAUACUGCUAAAUGUUCUCACUCACAAUUCGACAAAUACUGACGUUUUCUUACAUCUCUUUGGCACGUCAAGACGAUGCACAUGUUAAGUUUAU